rnacentral:lncRNA from 1 species
UGGAAGAAACGGGGUGUGAUGGGCUUCCAAGAAGCACUGGUGACACUGAGGACAUUCAGAUCACCUCUGCAAGGGAAGCACUAUUGCAGUGCCCACACUCAGCCUGCAUCAUAUCCGCCUGCCUCAAGCUGCAGGACCACAUCCAACCUUCUCCACUGAUUUUGACUCUUCUUGUGUCAGCUGUGAAAAUCAUGCUGAAGUCUCACCUGGACUGCCUGCUGAUACAUUGCCAAUGUGGCCCAUGGAUGCCAAACCAUAUAAAAACUCUUCCAGCACAGGCUGCAUAUGCAUAUGGGGAACUCUUGUAAGAAACUGGAUUACUUAAGCUUCUGAGAAAUACACUCUGUGACUUCGGCUCGGAGACAUCCUCAGGCUUGCAGCUAACCUAAACAAAUGAGGUAUGGAGCUGUCACACCUCCAUGAGUCACACAAAAUCUCACACCUAUGCAAUUUGAAGCUAUCCAUUCUGAUACCUAUUGGGAUGGUGACGUGCUUGAGGUGGUAAAUAAGCUGUUUUCUCUGGAACUAGACAUUACGAUACCAAUGGCACUGUGUCACCUGGUCCGGAAGAAGCCAGGAAGUUGAGUGGGGAAUUACCCUGAGACAAUGAAUUGCUUCAUGGUUUGGAGGCGUGUUCAUGCAUUGUCAUCCAGCUACCUGUAGUAGGGUUUCUACAUUUAAGAGUUCCUUGGGCAAUAAAAAGAUGGAAACCAUUUUAGUCA